rnacentral:rRNA from 1 species
AGGAUAAACGCUGGCGGCGUGCCUAACACAUGCAAGUCGAACGCUCUUUUGCUCGCAAGAGCCAGAGGGAGUGGCGGACGGGUGAGUAACACAUGGGUGACCUACCCCACAGUGAGGAAUACCGGCGAGAAAUCGCCGACAAGACCGCAUAGGCUCGGUCCGGUGAAGCGGAGCGAGCAAAGUCUCGCAAGAGACGCUGAGGGAUGGGCCUGUGGCCGAUUAGCUAGUUGGUAAGGUAAAGGCUUACCAAGGCGACGAUCGGUAGCUGGUCUGAGAGGACGAACAGCCACACUGGGAUUGAGAACGGCCCAGACUCCUACGGGGGGCAGGCAGUGAGGAAUUUUCCGCAAUGGACGCAAGUCUGACGGAGCAACGCCGCGUGCAGGAGGACGCUUUUCGGAGUGUAAACUGCUUUUCUGUGGGACGAGCGAGGACGGUACCACAGGAAGAAGCCCCGGCUAACUACGUGCCAGCAGCCGCGGU